ACGCUCGACACCUACGGAGGCAGCAGUGGGGAAUAUUGCACAAUGGGGGAAACCCUGAUGCAGCGACGCCGCGUGAGCGAAGAAGUAUUUCGGUAUGUAAAGCUCUAUCAGCAGGGAAGAAAGUGACGGUACCUGACUAAGAAGCACCGGCUAAAUACGUGCCAGCAGCCGCGGUAAUCUGAGGCGGGCUGGCGAACGGC
rnacentral:rRNA from 1 species